UACGUAGGUGGCAAGCGUUAUCCGGAUUUAUUGGGUGUAAAGGGCGUGUAGGCGGGAGCGCAAGUCAGAUGUGAAAACUCAGGGCUCAACCCUUAGCCUGCAUUUGAAACUGUGUUUCUUGAGUGCUGGAGAGGCAAUCGGAAUUCCGUGUGUAGCGGUGAAAUGCGUAGAUAUACGGAGGAACACCAGUGGCGAAGGCGGAUUGCUGGACAGUAACUGACGCUGAGGCGCGAAAGCGUGGGGAGCAAACAGG
rnacentral:rRNA from 1 species